rnacentral:rRNA from 1 species
GACAGAGGGUGCAAACGUUGUUCGGAAUUACUGGGCGUAAAGCGCGUGUAGGCGGUUACUUAAGUCGGAUGUGAAAGCCCUCGGCUUAACUGAGGAAGUGCAUCCGAAACUGGGUAGCUAGAGUACGAAAGAGGGUCGCGGAAUUCCCGGUGUAGAGGUGAAAUUCGUAGAUAUCGGGAGGAACACCGGUGGCGAAGGCGGCGAUCUGGGAAGAUACUGACGCUGAGGUGCGAAAGCGUGGGGAGCAAACAGG